rnacentral:misc_RNA from 1 species
GAUGAAGAACGUAGUGAAAUGCGAUACGUAAUGUGAAUUGCAGAAUUCAGUGAAUCAUCGAAUCUUUGAACGCACAUUGCGCCCAUUAGUAUUCUAUUGGGCAUGCCUGUUCGAGCGUCAUUUUGACCACUUAAGCCUGGCUUAGUGUUGGGAAUCUACGUCUGUAGUUCCUUAAAACCAGUGGCGGAGCCGCAGUGGCCUCUGAGCGUAGUAAUUUUUUCUCGCUUUGGAAGGUUCUGUAGUUUUUGCCAUAAAACCCCCAAUUUUUUAAGGUUGACCUCGGAUCAGGUAGGAAUACCCGCUGAACUUAAGCAUAUCAAUAAGCGGAGGA